CUUGGAUCCACUUUGUUAAUUUUGUUACUUCUUCCACUGAGUCUGCAUCUACCCUCAUUGCAAAUAGUCUAAAGCCACACCAUGUCCAUGUGUUCCUCAAGGCCAAGGGAGUAAUUAUAAACCAUUUGUGUCCCAUUCUUGGAAAGUCUUGGACCAGAGAUUACUAGGUCCCACCUUCAUAAACUUCUCAUUGUGUUUACAUAUAUAUCACCCUCCAAUCUCCAUCUCUAAACCAUUCAAGAUUAGCCAAAUCCCUAGUUCCAUAGACCGACCUUUUGUUUUCUUUAUCCUUUUUUUCCAGGAAAAUAGAAUUAUAUCAAAAUGAAAGGGUAUUCCAAGAUCAAAAUCUUUACUCGCUCUGCCAGAUCAAGAUCCAUGGACCUCUCAGAUCCUUUAACUUCUCUUGAACCCAAAAAUGCCAAUUCUCACUCAGACACAGACAUAAAGCCCCAAGAAAAAAUAACCAGCCAGCUGCAGAGCUUCAAGAACCUCAAGAACAACAACACUAGUACCAAAACCACCGCCGCCGCCACCACCACCACCGACAACAGCAACAACAUCAAGGGCCUGCAGGAUUCAGUUUCAUGGCUACAAGAUGAAGAUGAUUAUAAAGAAAACAGUAAUGCAGAGAUCAUGUUUACUACUUGUAAGCUGAAGAGGAACUCCUCAGUUUCUUCAGCUUCUGCACUUCAUUCUGCUGUUAAGAAUGCUUUCUCUAUGAGAAGAUCCUCCUCUGUUUCUGAGAGGUAUUGUAGGAUCCAUGACCAA
rnacentral:misc_RNA from 1 species